GGAAAAGAACACCCGCUGAGUUUAAGCAUAUC
rnacentral:rRNA from 1 species